GGAGCAUGCGGCUUAAUUCGACGCAACGCGAAGAACCUUACCAAGGCUUGACAUAUACAGGAAUAUGGCAGAGAUGUCAUAGCCGCAAGGUCUGUAUACAGGUGGUGCAUGGUUGUCGUCAGCUCGUGUCGUGAGAUGUUGGGUUAAGUCCCGCAAACGAGCGCAACCCUCGUUCUGUGUUGCCAGCAUUUAGUUGGGGACUCACAGGAGACUGCCGGGGUUAACUCGGAGGAAGGUGGGGAUGACGUCAAAUCAUCAUGCCCCUUAUGUCUUGGGCUGCACGCAUGCUACAAUGGCUGGUACAAACGGCUGCGAUACCGCAAGGUGGAGCGAACCCGAUAAAGCCAGUCUCAGUUCGGAUUGGGGUCUGCAACUCGACCCCAUGAAGUCGGAGUUGCUAGUAAUCGUAGAUCAGCAACGCUACGGUGAAUACGUUCCCGGGGCUUGUACACACCGCCCGUCACAUCACGAAAGUCGGUAACACCCAAAGUCAGU
rnacentral:rRNA from 1 species